AUUGAACGCUGGCGGCAGGCUUAACACAUGCAAGUCGAGCGGAGAUGAGGUGCUUGCACCUUAUCUUAGCGGCGGACGGGUGAGUAAUGCUUAGGAAUCUGCCUAUUAGUGGGGGACAACAUUCCGAAAGGAAUGCUAAUACCGCAUACGUCCUACGGGAGAAAGCAGGGGAUCUUCGGACCUUGCGCUAAUAGAUGAGCCUAAGUCGGAUUAGCUAGUUGGUGGGGUAAAGGCCUACCAAGGCGACGAUCUGUAGCGGGUCUGAGAGGAUGAUCCGCCACACUGGGACUGAGACACGGCCCAGACUCCUGCGGGAGGCAGCAGUGGGGAAUAUUGGACAAUGGGGGGAACCCUGAUCCAGCCAUGCCGCGUGUGUGGAGAAGGCCUUAUGGUUGUAAAGCACUUUAAGCGAGGAGGAGGCUACUGAGACUAAUACUCUUGGAUAGUGGACGUUACUCGCAGAAUAGGCACCGGCUAACUCUGUGCCAGCCGCCGCAGUAACAC
rnacentral:rRNA from 1 species